AGCUCCAAUAGCGUAUAUUAAAGCUGUUGCGGUUAAAAAGCUCGUAGUUGGAUUUCUGUCAGGGACAACUGGUCCGCCCUCUGGGUGAGCACACAGUUUGGUCUUGUCAUCUUGCUGGAACCUGUUGCUGCACUUGGCUGUGUGGCGCAGCGUCUAGCACCUUCACUUUGAGGAAAUUGGAGUGUUUCAAGCAGGCUCAUGCCUUUGAACACAGCAGCAUGGAAUUAUUUGAUUGGGCUUUUGCUCCACUUUGUCGGUUCUGGAGCUGAGGUGAGAGUUAAUGGGGAUUGUUGGGGGCAUCCGAAUUUAGCCGUCAGAGGUGAAAUUCUUGGAUCAGCUAAAGACGGACAACUGCGAAAGCAUUUGCCCAGGAUGUUUUCAUUGAUCAAGAACGAAAGUA
rnacentral:rRNA from 1 species